UACGUAGGGGGGCAAGCGUUGUCCGGAUUUAUUGGGCGUAAAGAGCGUGUAGGCGGCCAUACAGGUCCGUUGUGAAAACUGGAGGCUUAACCUCCAGACGUCGAUGGAAACCGUAUGGCUAGAGUCCGGAGAGGGAUGCGGAAUUCCAGGUGUAGCGGUGAAAUGCGUAGAUAUCUGGAGGAACACCGGUGGCGAAGGCGGGGUCUCUGGGCCGUAACUGACGCUGAGGAGCGAAAGCGUGGGGAGCGAACAGG
rnacentral:rRNA from 1 species